rnacentral:rRNA from 1 species
AACGUAGGACACAAGCGUUAUCCGGAGUUACUGGGCGUAAAGGGCGUUUAGGCGGGUGAUUAAGUUCGCUAUGAAAGCGCCAGGCUAAACCUGGCGAGGCUGGCGGAUACUGGUCAUCUGGAGUAAGGAAGAGGGAGGUAGAAUUCCGCGUGUAGUGGUGAAAUGCGUAGAUAUCUGGAGGAAUACCGGUGGCGAAGGCGGCAUCCUGGACCAUAACUGACGCUGAGGCGCGAAAGUGUGGGGAGCGAACAGG